ensembl:snRNA U2 U2 spliceosomal RNA
AUGUUGAAAGUGUGAAUAAAAAAAAAAAAUCUGUUCUUGUCAGUUUAAUAUCUGAUACGUCCCCUACCCGGGGACUACGUAUUAAAUUGAUUUUUGGAUAACGGAGCUGGAGCCGGGGCUUGCUCUGUCCACUCCACGCAUCGGCCUGGUAUUGCAGUGUCUCCAGGAACGGUGUGCUUCCC